CUUGCAGCUUAUUAUGAUUCUCUUAGUCUCUCCUGUUGAAGAGCACUGUAGGAGAUAUAACUAGGUGAUCAGUGUUGCAUCAGAAGAUGAGAUGUAAUUGCCUGCCAAUGCCAGACACAGUGUGCAACUGCUAACAGCCUCUAAAGGGCUUAAGCAACGAGUUCUGAAUGAAUGUGACCUACGUGGAAUAAUGUAAUAUUUGCUUUCGGCAACUUCAUACGGACUCACUGUCAUAAUACAACCGAUACUGUUAGAAAAAGCUGCGGGUGAUGUCAGAAGAUGCUGCAGGUGAAUAGAUA
rnacentral:lncRNA from 1 species